rnacentral:rRNA from 1 species
UAAUACGAAGGGGGCUAGCGUUGUUCGGAAUUACUGGGCGUAAAGGGCGCGUAGGCGGUGUGUCAAGUCAGGCGUGAAAGCCCCGGGCUCAACCUGGGAACCGCGCUUGAGACUGGCACGCUCGAGUUCGGGAGAGGAUGGUGGAAUUCCCAGUGUAGAGGUGAAAUUCGUAGAUAUUGGGAAGAACACCGAUGGCGAAGGCAGCCAUCUGGACCGACACUGACGCUGAGGCGCGAAAGCGUGGGGAGCAAACAGGAUUAGAUACCCUGGUAGUCCACGCCGUAAACGAUGAGUGCUAGACGUCGGGGCCCUCAGGGCUUCGGUGUCGCAGCUAACGCGUUAAGCACUCCGCCUGGGGAGUACGGCCGCAAGGUUA